rnacentral:tmRNA from 3 species
GGGGAUGUAUAGUUUCGACAGGGUAGCACUUUAAAAACUGCAAGCCGAAUAGCAAACAUUAUUCGUUAAAUAUUGUUUGAAAACACAAACGGCAGAAAUUCUGACCGCUAUGCAUACGCUUAACGCUAAGUUAAGUUAAGCAUUGUCUUAAGUAACUCUCCUCCUUACGGAAGCUUAAGGUAUGUACCAAGUAGGGAUGCUGUACUUACAGUGUUGGUUGAUCUGUAAUUGCAAAAGAUGAUUCAAUCAGAUAUUAGUUUUCCUGCUGAUUGGUUACAACUAUUAUCUAAAAGAUUAAUUAGCUAAGCUUGUAGAAGUUUUUAAGGAUUUACUUUGGACUCGGCUCAUAGCCGACAUCUCCACUA